rnacentral:lncRNA from 1 species
GGCUCAAAGGGGCGCAUGGACGAAAGCCGUCUCAAGGAACUUCGUGCCACCAAAAUAUACUGGUUAGCGAGGAGCCGCAGGGAGUGUGAUCGAGGUGUCCACUAAGUUGAAAAGAGACACCUCAAUCCUAAAGCCUUCCCUGACACUCACUGCUCCCUCUACAUCAGCCGCUUCGUUCUAUGAAAAGCGAGAGAUGACUUCCUUAGAACCACUGAGGUCCUGGUCAAAGAUCUUCCUAAAGUUGUUCCUUAUGCUGGCACUGCCAUGCCAGAUGGUUCCACUUCUGUCCCUGAGAAGCAAAGAUGACUUCCUUGCAAGAGGAACCGAGGCCCUGAUCAAGGGUCUCUGGGAGGCUAGCCUGCUCAGCGCAUGCCCGGAGGACCACCUUUGGGCUGGCCGAAGACGCCGGCAAGACUCAAGGUCUUGCUGCCGCCUGAGGAAGUGGGGCUCCGGUAGGGCCAAGCUACCUGCCUCCGCCUCCCUUGACCCCAGCAAGGACAAAAAUGAAGUUUCGUCUCGCUCUCUCCCAAGGCUACGACACGAGAGUUCGUCUACUACAACACGGCCUCAUUUGCUUCCAUCGAUGAUGUGAUCAUCACUAGUGACGAAGAUGGAGCAUAUGCAGUAAUAAUUUCGACCAAACCGUACAGUGCGACGAAGCUGUGCCAAUGUUUGCAGUCAGCAUUGACCCUUGAAGGUCGCUCAAAUCAACUUGAGUUUUCAUCCCUGAAACCAGCCUGAAAGUGGGCGGUCACAAUUGGAGACAUGACGUUGAACCAUGGCUACAUCGUCAUUGUGCAAUAUUUUAUAUUCCGUGAAAAAUUUGUGUGGGAGGACCAUAAAGUAUGUGACUCGAACUGUGUGCUAACAGCUUUGGAUUGUAGUUGAAAAUCAUUGAUUAUUUUGAAGUUUAAUACGAUGGCUUAUUUUUAAUAAAGCCUCAGCGUUUACCAAUAAAGACGCCUUAACAAGGACGAGACAACGGUGCAGCAAUGUCGUCUUGCCUUGACAGCAGAGAGGACACUGGCAAAGACUGACAUACCAGAUAACAUGCAAAUUUUUUAAUGCAGAGAAGUACAUGCAAUGGCACUGAUAUAGUAAUGUGUUAAAGCUAUGUGGAUGAAAAUGUAAAACGGUAUUGAGUUCCUAAGUGCCGAAAGUCUUUUCGGCAAGAUGUUGCAAUGAGAAAGCUGUCUCACUUUGUGAUAAAUAAAUACAUUUUGUGUUUGUGAUCAGUAUUUUGCUUCCUUUCUUUUUUAUUUUUAUGUAAGGUGUAUAUGAAGGGA